rnacentral:lncRNA from 1 species
CCUCUUCUGGCAUAAGCCUUUGUGUAAUUUUUAUCUAAAGCAAGUGCUAAAUUGCAAUCAGAUUCUGCAACAGAAAACUUUUUCAUUCUAUAAAAAGCAGAUGCUCUGUUUGUGGGCAAUACUGGAUUGAAUGGAUCAGAAUGCAUCCCUCUAGUGUAGCAUUUUAUAGCUUCAUCAAAGUUUCCUUGUUUAAAGUAUUUGUUACCCUUUUCCUUCUCCGCAAGAGCCUUUUCUUUAUCUAUAUGAAUUCCAUCUUCUUCAGAGUCUGAUUCUGGAGAUACAGAAUCAUGAGUACUAUCGUCUUUAUCAAGUUCUUCCAGUAUCUUAUCCACAUCAAGUUUUCCCCAAGCUUCAUAAUCAUAAGACUUGAUCUUGUUUUUCUUGUUUUCCUCAGUGGUUGUCUUUGAUGGGACUUUAGUCUUGCUUUUCUUCUUUUUCUUAAAAGUCUUGUUUCGAAUGGGUGGUAAAUUCUCUUCUGAGACACCACUCUGUUUCCUUAAUUCUGAAUCAACUUCUUUAAUAUCCUUUUCCCAGCUCUCUAAUUCCCUCAUAAAAUCC